rnacentral:rRNA from 1 species
GGCGAACGCUGGCGGCGUGCUUAACACAUGCAAGUCGAACGGCCAGGCCCUGCUUUUGGGGUGUGCUCGAGUGGCGAACGGGUGCGUAACCCGUGAGUAACCCGCACUAGACUUUGGGAUAACUUCACGACACUGGGGCUAAUACCGUAUAGGAGCUCUUCAUCCGUGGGGGGGGUUGGCAAUUUCCGGCGGUUGGGGGUGGACUCGCGGCUUAUCAGUUUGUUGGUGGGGUAGUGGCCUACCAAGGCUUUGUCGGGUAGCCGGCCUGAGAGGGUGACCGGCCACAUGGGGACUGAGGUACGGCCCGGACAGCAACGGGGGGCAGCGGUGGGAAAUUUUGCACAAUGGGCGGAAGCCUAGCGCAAGACCGCCGCGUGCGGAAUAACGGCUUUCGGGUUGUAAACCGCUUUCGCCUGUGACGAAGCGUUGGUGACGGUAAUGGGUCAAGAAGCACGGGCUAACUACGUG